AAGGGAGACCUAAUUCCGGUAGGAGACGAGAAAAAAGUAGUCCCAACCAAGAAUCAAUCCCAAAAGGUCGGAACGAGGUAUGAGGCUUUCAAACUAGGUUCUGGGUUCAUAAAAGACCUGAAUCAGGAACAAGGGCUAUUAGCUCAGGUGGUUAGAGCGCACCCCUGAUAAGGGUGAGGUCCCUGGUUCGAGUCCAGGAUGGCCCACCUGCACAGGUGGCAAAAACAAGAGAAGCUCCGAAUCAGCACCUUAUCUUAUAUACAUAUAUAAGAGAGAAUGCUGGCUCUGAGUACAGAGUCCAGAGGAACCUUGAAAACUGCAUAGAGCUAGGUGAAAAAGCCAAAAAAGAAGACCGCAA
rnacentral:tRNA from 1 species